rnacentral:rRNA from 1 species
UACGGAGGGUGCAAGCGUUAUCCGGAUUCACUGGGUUUAAAGGGUGCGUAGGUGGGCAGGUAAGUCAGUGGUGAAAUCUCCGAGCUUAACUCGGAAACUGCCGUUGAUACUAUAUGUCUUGAAUGUUGUGGAGGUUAGCGGAAUAUGUCAUGUAGCGGUGAAAUGCAUAGAUAUGACAUAGAACACCAAUUGCGAAGGCAGCUGGCUACACAAAUAUUGACGCUGAGGCACGAAAAGCGUGGGGGAUCAAAACAGG